GAUGAACGCUGGCGGCGUGCCUAAUACAUGCAAGUCGAGCGAACAGACGAGGAGCUUGCUCCUCUGACGUUAGCGGCGGACGGGUGAGUAACACGUGGAUAACCUACCUAUAGGACUGGGAUAACUUCGGGAAACCGGAGCUAAUACCGGAUAAUAUAUUGAACCGCAUGGUUCAAUAGUGAAAGACGGUUUUGCUGUCACUUAUAGAUGGAUCCGCGCCGCAUUAGCUAGUUGGUAAGGUAACGGCUUACCAAGGCAACGAUGCGUAGCCGACCUGAGAGGGUGAUCGGCCACACUGGAACUGAGACACGGUCCAGACUCCUACGGGAGGCAGCAGUAGGGAAUCUUCCGCAAAGGGCGAAAGCCUGACGGAGCAACGCCGCGUGAAUGAUGAAGGUCUUCGGAUCGUAAAACUCUGUUAUUAGGGAAGAACAAAUGUGUAAGUAACUAUGCACGUCUUGACGGUACCUAAUCAGAAAGCCACGGCUAACUACGUG
rnacentral:rRNA from 1 species